rnacentral:rRNA from 1 species
UACGGGGGGUGCAAGCGUUGUUCGGAAUUAUUGGGCGUAAAGAGCGUGUAGGCGGCUUGGUAAGUCAGAUGUGAAAGCCCUGGGCUUAACCCAGGAAGUGCAUUUGAAACUGCCAGGCUUGAGUAGGGGAGAGGGAAGUGGAAUUCCUGGUGUAGAGGUGAAAUUCGUAGAUAUCAGGAGGAACACCGGUGGCGAAGGCGACUUCCUGGCCCUAUACUGACGCUGAGACGCGAGAGCGUGGGUAGCAAACAGG